UGCAAGACUAGAGGAUGUCAAAAGUUCGUGAUUGCUGAGCGUCCGUCCCUGCUGGAUUGGUUGUUUCACCUCCCUAUGAACAUCCUGUGUCUGAAUGAGCUGCCUCCUCUGGUGGAAGGUUUUAAUCUUGGAGGAAACUGUUAAAGAGCAGAUUUUGAUAUGGUUCAGCUGGGAAAGGCACUUGCCUGAAUUUGAUCCUCAUGU
rnacentral:lncRNA from 1 species